GACGAACGCUGGCGGCGUGCCUAAUACAUGCAAGUAGAACGCACAGUUUAUACCGUACCUUGCUACACCAUAGACUGUGAGUUGCGAACGGGUGAGUAACGCGUAGGUAACCUGCCUGGUAGCGGGGGAUAACUAUUGGAAACGAUAGCUAAUACCGCAUAAUAUUGAUUAUUGCAUGAUAAUUGAUUGAAAGAUGCUAUUGCAUCACUACCAGAUGGACCUGCGUUGUAUUAGCUAGUAGGUGAGGUAACGGCUCACCUAGGCGACGAUACAUAGCCGGCCUGAGAGGGUGAUCGGCCACACUGGGACUGAGACACGGCCCAGACUCCUACGGGAGGCAGCAGUAGGGAAUCUUCGGCAAUGGACGAAAGUCUGACCGAGCAACGCCGCGUGAGUGAAGAAGGUUUUCGGAUCGUAAAGCUCUGUUGUAAGAGAAGAACGGGUGUGAGAGUGGAAAGUUCACACUGUGACGGUAUCUUACCAGAAAGGGACGGCUAACUACGUG
rnacentral:rRNA from 1 species